GCGCCCGUAGCUCAGUGGACAGAGCAUCGGUCUUCUAAACCGGUGGCCGCAGGUUCGAAUCCUGCCGGGCGCGCCU
rnacentral:tRNA from 1 species